rfam:Sphingopyxis macrogoltabida strain EY-1, complete genome.
UGUGCGGGCCGGGCCCCUCUGGCGUCGGCAGGAUUUUUCCUGCCACGUGAUGUCGGACCGCAUCG